UUGCUAAUGGUUUAGCUGGAUGAUCAGG
rnacentral:piRNA from 1 species